GGCCAGAGAUAAACCACUUCAAGAAAAGUGCUUCUUAGAACAGAAAGCAGUGUGUGGCGAGGACCUGCCUCCCUUAACUUAUGAGCAGCUGAAGGAUCUGAA